CCAAAAGCGUCCAGAUUGUCCAGGCCACAGAGACCACUGCUACUCGUAAGAGAGGAGGCGUUCCCUCCAAAACGAUAGACCUGGGAGCAGCUGCGCAUUACACUGGCAAUAAGCCCUCCACCAACACAAACACAAGCCAGACCACAUCAGCAGUGAGCCAGCCCAGUUCUGGUUUGGUAGACUUGUUUUCAGCAGAACCUGCACCUGCUCAACCAGCUUCCCAAGGUUCAGGCUCUGACCUGAUAGCUGGUUUUGCUGAUUUCUCCUCUCCUGCAGCUGCAGCUAGUCUUCCUUCAUCAGCUGGUAUGUUUAUAUAACCUCUUAGAACACCAUCAGGUCAAAAAUACAACCUGAAACUCUGGAUUAUUUUUACUUUUACUUACAACAACAUACACCUCUGUUCAAAUAUAUUUGGGGUCAGCUAUUUAUUUAAAAUAUCUACCAGGGACAUAUAUUACAUUUAUCAAAAGUGACUUUUACAUUUUUACCAAAGAUUUCUAUUUUAUUUAUCAAAGGGAAAAAAUGUUUCCACAAAAUUCAGAAUAUUCAUAAUAUUAGAAUGAAGAUUGGAGAUGCUGAGUAUUGGAAUAAUGGCUGCUGAAAAUUUAGCUUUGCAGGAAUAAGGUACAGGAAUAAGUAAAUUUUAAAUAUAUAUUUAAAUAGAAAAGUUAUUUAAAAUUUUAAAUAAACUAUAAAAUGUCUUAACUGAGAUACAUGCAUCAAAAGAGACUUUUGACCAUUAUUAUGUUUUCAAAAGUUACAACUGGUAUUUUCUGACUCAUCAGUUAAUUUUGUUUUUGGAAAACCCUAUAAAAUUGGGUGGGUUUUGGG